rnacentral:lncRNA from 1 species
GGAGCCGCCGAGCUAAGGGUGGUUCCUCACCCUGAUGCCACCUGCAUGGCCCCCAGCCAUCCUGGCUUCUGCCUACCUGCCUUCCUAACCACCCAGCUCGGAAGUUCUCCAUUGCCCAGGCCCUCUCAGUGCCAUCACGCUGGCAUAGCAUCACUAGUAUGCACAGAAAAGCAGUAGAAGUGAGUAACAGUGUCCAUUUCUGCCCAAUACGACAGCUGCAAGUCUGCACCGAUUCCUGAAGGCACAACAAGCACGUUCCUGCUAUGUAUGUAAAUUAACUUGUUAAUCACAUAGACUUUCUCUUCAAUGAAUUAGUAAAAAUACAUAAAGGAGAUCUGCCAGUUGUGUAAGAUUUCAUACUGAAUGAAAACCAACCUCAGUUGUUUACCAUUGCCAGUUUAUUAGCUUCAAAAAACAUGACAGAAGCUUGUCCUUUUGAGUCAGCUGCACCUAACAGGUGACUUGGGA